AUGAACCUGCGGUAUGCGUGUAUAUGGUAUUGUGAUAGAACCAAGUCCAGAACGGGAAUUGAUCCCUUUGUGCGUUAUAGUAAGUUUUUGAAAUAACUCCCCACUUAGGUAGAUGCCCACCUUGUUAAAAAGGUUCUCGGACAAACCAUCUCACGGUACACGCGGGUUUUAU
rnacentral:other from 1 species